CCUACGGGAGGCAGCAGUGGGGAAUAUUGCACAAUGGGGGAAACCCUGAUGCAGCGACGCCGCGUGAGUGAAGAAGUAAUUCGUUAUGUAAAGCUCUAUCAGCAGGGAAGAAAAUGACGGUACCUGAGUAAGAAGCCCCGGCUAACUACGUGCCAGCAGCCGCGGUAAUACGUAGGGGGCCAGCGUUAACCGGAUUUACUGGGUGGAAAGGGAGCGUAGACGGCAGUGCAAGUCUGGAGUGAAAGGCGGGGGCUCAACCCCCGGACUGCUCUGGAAACUGUACGGCUGGAGUGCAGGAGAGGUAAGUGGAAUUCCUAGUGUAGCGGUGAAAUGCGUAGAUAUUAGGAGGAACACCAGUGGCGAAGGCGGCUUACUGGACUGUAACUGACGUUGAGGCUCGAAAGCAUGGGGAGCAAACAGGAUUAGAUACCCGGGUAGUC
rnacentral:rRNA from 1 species